UGGUUCCGGCCUGUCCGUUAGGUGCUUCCAGCAUGUCUGGAAGUUGGUUCUGGCGUGUCAGACUCAUGUUUCCAGUGUGUCCGGUGGGUGCUUCCGGUGAGUCUGGUGGGUCAUUAUGGGAUGUCUGUGUGGUGGUUCCAGAGUGUUCGGCGGGUGCUUUUGGCAUGCCUGUCGGGUUUUUCCAGCAUCUAAGGUGCCUGGUUCAAGCAUAUCCAGCAGGUGAGUUCUUUCUCAGCUUCCUAAAGAGCUGGAAGCAAGACAGUUUGUGGCUUGUCUCCCCUUGAGGGAUGGAGGCAGUGCUUUGUGCCAUCCACCUCUCGAGCAAUAUAGGGCAUGGUUGAGAGCAAAUGGGCCUUUCUGACAUAGGGGCUUUCUGACACUCUCUCCACGAGUGCACAAGGGCGGUUGGUUAAAAGCCUCUUGUCUCUAUCCUCCUAAGCUUGUGGAAUCACAAUCAUACGGGCCUUGGCCCCAUUGCUUAAGGGGAAGAUGUAGCCAUUACCCCUGAGCCGGGUUGGCAAGAGGGAAAUGUGGCAGAAGCAGAAGUUCUAAAGCAGCGAGUUAAGGGCUGGGAGGAAAUGGCGUUCAGCUGCCUGUGUAUGAGAGGUUCCCAGUAUGCUGUAAGAGCACUGUGGAAAGCGACUUCUUUCUCAGCUUCCUAAAGAGCUGGAAGCAAGAUGGUUUGUGUCUUGUCUCCCCUUGAGGGAUGGAGGCAGUGCUUUGUGCCUUCCACCUCUAGAGCAAUGUAGGGCACGGCUGAGAGCAAAGGGGCCUUUCUUCCAUAGGUGCUUUCUGACACUCUCUCCUCCAGUGCACAAGGGCGGUUGGUUAAAAGCCUAUUGUCUCUCUCCUCCUAAGCAUGUGGAUGCACAAUCAUUCGGGCCUCAGCCUCCUUGCUUAAGGAGAAGAUGUAGGCAUUUUGUCUGAGCCGGGUUGGCAAGAUGGAAAUGCCCCAAAAGCAGAAGUUCUAAAGCAAUGAGUUAAGGGCUCCAAAUAAACAGCAUUUCAGGUGCCUUUGUAUGAGAUGUUCAAGGUACACUAUAAGAACAGUGUGGAAAGUGAGUUCUUUCUCAGCUUCCUAAAGAGCUGGAAGCAAGAUGGAUUAUUGCUCAUCUCCCCUUGAGGGUUGGAGGCAGUGUUUUGUGCCUUGCAGUUUUAGGGCAAUGUAGGACUCUGCUGAGCAAACUUGGCCUUUCUUCCAUAGCUGCUUUCUGAACACUCUCUCCACCCAUGCACAAGGGCGGCAUGAGAGGUUGCCAGUAUGCUGUAAGAGCACUGUGGAAAGCGAGUUUUUCUUAACUUCCAAAGAGUGGUUGGUUAAAAUCCUAUUGUCUCUCUCCUCCUAAGCAUGUGGAAGGACAAUCAUUCGUGCCUCAGCCGAAUGAUUCGGGCGGGACUUGUGUGACCCACCUGCCUUAAAUGCUGGAACCAACUGUUGGACACUUCAGAAGCAUCAUCUGGAAACGGUGGAACCACCCACCGCAGAUGUGAGAAUCAGGUCCAAAACGUGCCAGAAGCACCUGCAGGACACACCAGAACCAUCUGACUCAAACGCCAAAAUCACCUGCCGGAUACACAAGAACCACUUGAUGGACACUCCAGAAUCACAUGACGGGCAUGAAAGAACCAUCUCUCAGAGUGCCAGAACCAUGUGCUGGAAACGCCGGAACCACAUCACUGACAGACAUGAACCACCUGCUGGACACGCCUGAACCACCUGCUUCACUCGCCAGAACCACCUUCUGGACAAGCCAAAAUCACCUGCCGGAUACACUGGAACCAGGCCCCUUAGAAGCCGGAAAAAGCCAACAGACAUGCCAGAAGCACCUGCCGCACACUCUGGAACCACCAUACAGACAUGCCUGAAUGACCCGCCAUACACACCAGAAGCACCCACCAGACACGCCAGAACCACCUGGAACCACCCACCGGACACACUGGAACCAUGACACUGACACGCCAGAACCACCUUGCAGACAUGCCAGAAGCACCCAAAGGACAUGCUGGAACCAUCUUCCGAACGUACCAGAACCACAUGCCAGACACACAGGAACCACCUGCCAGACACUUCGCAACCACCUGUUGGAUAUGCCGAGACCACGUGCCAGAUACACUGAAACCACCUCCCGAAUACGCCAGAACCAGGUGCUGGCCAUGCCACAAACACCUGCCAGACAAGCCGGAACCACCAGCCUAACACGCCAGCACAACCUGCCGGACAUGCCAAAAUCACCUGCUGGAUAAACUGGAACCAGGUCCUGGAUACGCCAGAACUAAUUUCCAGAAAAGGCCAGAACAACCUGCCAGACAGCCUGGAAUCCCCCGCCAGGCAUGCGGGAACCAACUGUCAAACACGCCGGAACCAACACCUGGACACACUGAACGCACCAACCACACACGAAGGAAUCAGGUUCCGGACACACGGUAGCCACCAGCCGGACACGCCGGAACCACCUUCAGAACAUACUGGAACCAUAUGCCAGACACACAGGAACUACCUGCCAGACACCACGGAACCAAUGGUCAGAUACGAUGGAACCAGGCACCCAGUACGCUGAAGCCACCUUCUGAACACGCCCAAACGCUGUGCUGGACAUGCCAGAUCCAUAUGAUGGAUACACCAGAAACAGGUCCAGCACAGGCCAGAACCAGGUUCCAGAAACACCUGAAACAGCUGCCGGACACACCUGAACCACCUGUUAGACCAGCCUGAACCACUAGAUGGAGAAUCCUGAACCACAUGCCAGGCACACCGUAACCAGGUGCCCGACACGCCAGAACCACCUUCUGGACACGUCUGAACCACCUACAAGUCUUGUGAGAACCACCUGCCGGAUACAGCAGAUACAGGUGUCGCACACACCGAAACCAGGUGAUGGACAUGACUGACCACCUGCAAGACAUGCCAGAACCAGGUGCCAGACACACUGGAACCACCUGCCAGACACCUCAAAAUCCCCUGCUGGAUACGACGGAACCUUGUGACACAAACGUCGGAAUCAUCUACCAGACAUGCCGGGACCACCUCUUGGAUAUGCUGGAACCAGGUGCCUGAUUCACUGAAAGUACCUGCCAGACACACCAGAACCAGGUGUCAGACACGCCUGGACAACCCACAGGACACGUCAAAAUCACCUGCAUGAUACCCUGGAACCAUGUGCUAGACAUAACGGAACCACCUGCCAGAUACACCAGAAACAGGCGCAGUACAUGCUGGAACCAGGUGCCCCACACGACUGAUUCACCUGCCGGACAAGACUCAACCAUCUGCCGGACAUGCCGAAACCACCUUCUGGGUGCGCUGGAACAAUCUGUGUGCACGCCUGAACCACCCGCCGCACAAGUGUGACCCAUGUGCCUGACAUGCUGUAACCAACUGUUGGACAUGUUGGAACCAUCAUCUGGACACUCUGUAACCACUCACCACAGUCGUGAGAAUCAGGUCCAGAACGCGCCGGAAGCACCUGCAGGAGAGGCCAGAACCACCUGACUCACACGCCGAAAUCACCUGCCGAAUAUGCCAGAACCACUUGACGGACACUCUGGAAUCACAUGCAGGGCAUGCCAGAACCACCUCUCAGAUAUGCCAGAAACACGUGCCAGACAUGAUGGAACCACUUUCUGGACAGACCUGAACCACCUGCCGAACACACCAGAACCACCUGCUUGACUCACCAGAACCACCUGCGAGACAUGCCAAAAUCACCUGCCGGAUACACUAGAACCAGGCCCCUUAGACGCUGGAAAAACCCGACAGCCAUGCUGGAACCAGCCUCUGCACACUCUUUAACCACCACACAGACAUGCCAGAACGACCUGCCAGACACACCGGAAGCACCCACCAGACACACCUGGAAACACCUGCCGGACACACCAGAAACAUGACUCUGACACACCAGAACCAACUCCCACACAUGCCAGAAGCACCUAACGGACACAUCAGAACCAUCUUCCAAACGUACCAGAACCACAUGCCAGACACACAGGAACCACCUGCCAGACACUUCGCAAACACCUGUUGGAUAUGCUGAGACCACGUGCCAGAUACACUGAAACCAAUGGCGAAUACGCCAGAACCAGGUGCCGGACAUGCCACAAAAACCUGUCAGACAAGGCAGAACCACCAUCCUAACAUGCUGGAAAAACCUGCCAGACAUAACAAAAUCACCUGCCAGAUACACCAGAACCAGCUCCUGGAUACACCAGAACCAAUUUCUGGAAAAGGCUGGAACAACCUACCAGACAGACUGGAAUCCCCCACUGCACAUGCGGGAACCGAAUGCCAGACAUGCCGGAAUCAACACCUGGACACUGUGAGCGCACCAACCACACACAACUGAAUCAGGUCCUGGACACACAGUAGCCACCUGCCAGACACGCUGGAACCACCUUCAGAACAUACCGGAACCACAUGCCAGACACACAGGAAACACCUGUCAGACACCAUGGAACCAACUGUCAGAUACGGAACCAGGCGCCCGGUACGCUGAAGCCACCUGCUGAAUACGCCAGAACCAUGUGCCACACACGCAGGAACCAUGUUAUGGAUACGCCAGGAACAGGUCCAGCACAGGCCAGAUCCAGGUGCCGGACACGCCUGAAACAGCUGCCAGACACCCUUGAAUCACCUUCUAGACCAGCCUGAACCACUUGACAGAAAAUCCAUAACCUGGUUCCGGUGUGCCCAGAAUGUGGUUACGGUAUCUGGUACCUGAUUUUGCCAUAUGUGAGAGGUGAUUCCGGCAUGUCUGACAGUUGGUUCCGGGAUGUCAGGCUCGUGCUUCCGCCGUGUUUCACGGGUGGAUCAGUGCUGUCCAGCACGUGGAUCAGUUGUGUCUGGUGGUGGGUUGCAGCAUAUCUAGGGGUCGUUGCAGUGUGUCCAGAAGGUCGUUCCGUCGUGUCCAGCAUGUGGUUCUGGCGAGUCAAGCAGGUGGUUCCAGCGUGUACGGCAGGUGGGUCAGGCAUGUCUGUCAGCUGGUCGAGGUGCCUCUGCCAGAUGGUCCAGGCAUGGCUGUCCCCUGACCCAGGCAUUUCUGAAAUGUGGUUCUGACGUGUCCGAAUGAUGUUUGGGCAUGUCCUGCAUGUGAUUCAGUCCUCUCCGGGAGGUGCUUUGGGGUUGUCCGGCAGGUGGUCCAGGUGUAUCCAGGAAGUGGUUCGGCAUAGCCAGCAUGUCCUUUGAGAAUGUCUAGCCUGGGGUUCUGGCAUAUCCCACAGGUGGUUCCAGCGUGUCUUGCACCUGGAUGUAGCGUGUUCGGCUUCCAGCAUGUCCACCAGAUGGUUCCAGCUCAUCCUAAAGGUGGUUACGACGAGUUCAUCAGGUGGUUCAGGCUUGUCCAUCACUUGGUUCAGUCGUGUCCAGGACCUGGUUCCAGGAUGUGCAACACCUCUUUCUGGUGUAUCCAGUAGGUGGCUCCAGGGUGUCCUGCAGGUGGUUCAGUUUUGUCUGGCACCUCGUUUUGGUGUGUGCGACACCUUUUUCUAGCACAUCUGGCAGGUGAUUCUGGCAUGUCUGGCAGGUGGUACUUGCAUGUCUGGCAAGUGUUUUGGGCAUGUCCAGCAGGUUUUUCUGGCCUUAGGGCACCAGAUUCCGCCGUGUCCGGCAACUGGUUCUGGCAUAUCCAACACAUGUUUCCAGCAUGUCUGGUAGGUGUUUGCAGUGUGUCUGGCAAGUGGUUCUGUUACAUUGGUAAGGUGUUUCCAGCAUUUCCAGUGGGUGCCUCCAGGGUGUCCAGCAGUUGGUUCAGACGUGUGUGGCUGGUGCUUCUGGCGUGCCUGUGUGGUGGUUCUGAAGUGCCUGGCUGGUGCGUCUGGGGUGUCUGGCAGUUGAUUCCCACGUGUCUGGCAGGUGGCUAUGGUGUGUCCGGGACCUGAUUUCGUCAUGUCAGGUGGUGGUUUAGCAUGUCUGGGUGGUGGUUCUGGCAUGUCCAUCAGUUGAUUUUGACAUUGAAGUUGGUUCUGGUGUAUUCAGGACCUGGUUAUGACAUAUCCAGCAGGUGAUUUCAGCUUGUCCUGCCUGUUGUCUGGCGUGUCUGGCGGGUGGUUCCGGCAUGCCCGGCAGGUGGUUGUGAUGUGUUUGGCAUCUGCUUCUGAUGUAUCCUGCAUGUGGUUUUACAGUGUCCGGCACCUGGUUCUUCCAUGUCCGACAGGUGGUUCCAGUGUGUCAGGCAGGUGUUUCUGGGAUGUCAGGCAGGUGGUUCUGGUGUGUCCGGCUCGUGGUUCAGCUGUGUUUGGCAGGUGGAUCAGUGCUGUCCAGCAGGUGGAUCAGUCAUGUCGGGUGGUGGGUUGCAGCAUAUCCCGGGGUGGUUGCAGUGUGUCCAGAAGGUGGUUCUGUCAUGUCGGGCAGGUGGUUCUGGUGAGUCAAGCAGGUGGUUCUGGCGUGUUUGGCAGGUGGUUCAGGCGUGCACAGCAGGUGGUUUAAGUCUGUCCAGGAAGUGGUUCCGGCAUGUCUGGCACAUGGUUCUGGCUUAUUUGGCAGGUGGCUUCAGCGUACCACGUGCCUGGUUCCGGCAUAUCUGACAGUUGGUUCCAUGGGGUCUGGCAUGUGUUUCUGGUACAUUCUUAAGGUGGUUCCUGCAUGUCCGGCAGAUGCUUCAGUCUUGUCUGGCAGUUGGAUCAGUCAUGUGGGACACCUGGUUCUGGCGUGUGCUGCGCCUGUUUCUGGCGUAUCUGGCAGGUGGCGCUGGCGUGUCCGGCAGGUGGUUCCAUUAUGUCUGGCACAUGGUUCCUGGGUAUCAUGCAGGUGAUUUUGACGCGUCCUGUGGGUUGUCCCAGCGUGUCCAACACCUGGUUCUGGCAUGUCCAGGAGGUAGUUUUAGCGAAUCAGGCACCUGGUUCCAGCGUAUCCAACAGGUGGUCCUGGCAUGUCUGGUAGGUGAUUCUGGUGUGUGCGGCACAUGGUUGCGGUGUAUCUGGCAGGUGAUUUCAAUGCGUCCAGCAGGUGUUUCCAGCAUAUCUGGCACCUGGUUCUGUCAUGUUUUGCAGGUUUUUCAUUCAUUACCUGCACCUGUUUUUGGCGUGUGCAAUACCUGUUUCUGGAUUAUACUUCAGGUAGUCCCAGUGUGCCCAGCAGGUGGUUCUUGCAAGUCUGGCAUGUGGCUCAGGCACAUCCAGCAGGUGGUUCUGGCGUGUUGGACACCUGGUUCCAGCAUUUCUGGCAGGUGGUUCCCGACCAUUCAGCAGGAGGUUGCACCAUGUCCCCUACCUGAUUGCGACGUGUGUUUUGCGUGGUUCUGGUGUGUCUCUGUAGUGCCUCCAGUGUGUCCUGCAGGUGGUUCCGGCACAUGUGGUCAGUUUUCCCGGCGUAUAAGGAGAUUGGUUCCAGCCGUCAGUCGAGUCUGGCUGUUGGUUGCAGCUUAUCCAGGGGUGGUUCUGGCAUCUCCACAAGGUGGUUCCAGUGUGUCCAGCAGGUGAUUCCAACAUGUCUUGUGGGUGGUUACGGCACAUAACCCCAGGCCAGAUAUAAUUAAAUGAUACGUUGGAUAUGCCAAACCACUUGCUGGAAACACCCAGACCACCUGCUGGACACUCCCAAAGCACUUCCCGGAGAGGAGCAAAUCAGAUGUCUGGCACACCCAAACCAUCUUUUGGGCACAUCAGAACCAUAUUUCAGAAAUGCCUGGAGAGGUCGGCCAUGCCAUGUGCCAUGCCAUGUGCCAGGUGCACCUGGACCAGCUGACUAACAGGCCUGAACAUCUUGCCAGACUUGCCAAACUACCCUCUGGCCAUACCGCAACCAUCCACCAGAAACGCCUGAACCACCUGCCUGACACGCUGGAACCAACUGCUGGAAACAUGGGAGCCACCACCUGCAAACUCUGGAACCAACCCCAGAGAAGCAAGAAUCGGGUCCCGAACAUGCUGGAAGCACCUGCCGGACAUGGUGGGACAACCUGCAUGAACUGCCAGAAUCACCCACCGAACACAAUGGAACCACCUUCCUGACACGCCAGAAGAACCUGUCUGACACGCUGGAACCACCUGCCAGGCACGAUGGAAUCACAUUUUGGACAUGCUGGAACCACCCUAGGACAUGCUGCAACAAACCGCCAGAGAUGACUGAUCUACCUGCUGGACAGAACUGAUCCACCUGUCAACCAUGGCUGAACCAGCAGCUGGACACAGCAGAAACACCUGCCUGACACCCCAGAACCACCUUCCUGACAAGCUGGAACCACAGGUCGGAUACAGCAGAAGUAGGUGCCAGACAAUGCAAAUGCACCUGCCAGAUAUGCCAGAACCAGGUGCCAGACAUACCAGAACCACCCUCCAGACAUGCCAGAGCUAACUGCCAGACAUGCCGGAAGCACCCACCGGACACGCCAGAACCACCUUUCGAACAUAACAGAACCACAUGCCAGAUACACCUGCCCCACCUGCCAGACAUGCCUGAACCACCUGUUGGGUAUGCCAGAACCAGGUGCCGGACACACCAGAACCACAUGCCGAACAAUCUGGAACCGCCUGCCAGACACGCCAAAACAACCUGCUGGACAUGCUGAAUUCACCUGCCACACAUGCUGGAAUCAUCACCCAAACAUGCCAAAACCACCAUCUGACAUGAUGGAAUCAGGUCCUGGACACGACAUAGCCAGAUUCAGGGCACACCGGAAUCACAUGCCAGACAUGUGGGCACCAACUGCUGGACACCCCGGAAGCACUCACCUGACACAUUGGAACCACCUUCCAGACGUACCGGAAACUCAUGCCAGACACUCAGGAACCCCCUGCCUGACAUGCUGGCACCACCUGAAUGACACGCCAGUACUACUGGCAGGGCAUGCCAGAACCACCUGCCGGACAAAGAUGAACUACCUGCCAGACAAGACUGAACCACCUGCCAGAUAUUCCUGAAUCACUUGACAGAUAAUCUGGAACCACAUGCUGGGCAUGCAAGAACCACAUGUCAGAUAUGCCAGUACCAGGUGCUGGACGCCCCAAAACCACCUUCACGACAGGCCUGAACCACCUUCUGGACAGGCCUGAACCACCUGCUGGACAUGCGCAACCAUCUGGUGACUUGCCGGAACAACCUGCCAGACACACCAAAAUCCCUUCCUGGAUACACCAGAAGCACGCCAUUAUAUGCCGGAACAACCCAACAGACAUCCCAGAAUCAACUGCCGGACACUCCAGAAGCACCCACUGGACACGCCGGAGCCACCUUCUGAACAUACCGGAAUCACAUGCCAGACACCUGCCACACAUGCCAGAACCACCUGUUCUAUAUGCGGGAACCAGAUGGCAAAUACACUGAAACCACCUGCCAAAUACACCAGAACCAGGUGCCGGACAUGGCAGAUACACCUGCCUGAAAUGUACAAAUCAGCUGUCAGUUAAGCUGAAACCCUGUGUCGGACAUGCCGAAACCAUCUGCCGGAUACGCCAGAAACAGGUCCAGCACAGGCCGGACCCCGGUGCCGGGCAAGCCUGGAGCUGCUGCAGGACUAGCCUGAACCAUCUGCUAGACCACCCUGAACCACUUUACGGACAUUCCAGAACCACAUGCCGGGCAUGCCAGAACAAGCUGCCUGACACACCAGAACACACUUCCACACAGGCCGGAAAAGCCUGUGGCACAUGCCUAAAUCACCAACCAGACACACAAGAACCACCUCCCAGACAUGCCAAAACCACCACCUGAAAUGAGGGAAUCAGGUCCUGAACACACUGUAGUCACCUGCCUGAUACCACGCAAACACCUGCCAGACACACCAGGACAACCUGUCGGAUACGGCAGAACCAUGGCCAGACACCCUGAAACCACUUGCCAGAGAUGGCAGAACUAGGUGCCAGACACGCCAUAACCACCUGCCAGACAGGCCAGAACAACCUGCCAGACACACCAAAAUCACCUGCUGGAUACGCCAGAACCAGGUCCUGAAUACACCAGAAGCAACUUCCACAGAGUCUGGAAAAACCUGCUGCACAUGCUGAAAUCACCUGCCGGACACGCCGGAACCACCACCUAGACAUGCAAAGACCACUACCCAACAUACAGAAUCAGGUCCUGGACACACUGGAAUCACCCUCUGGACAUGCAGGAACCAAAAGCCGGACAACCUGGAAGCACCCACCUGACACAUCACAACCACCUUCCAAAAAUACCGGAAACUCAUGCCUGACACACAGGAACCCCAAGCCUGACACACUGGAACCACCUGAGUGACACGCCAGUACCACUGGCAGGACAUGCCAGAACCACCUGCCAAACAAGCUGAACCACCUGCCAGAUACGCAUGAACCACUUGAUGGACAAUGUGGAACCACAUGCCGGGAAUGCAGGAACCACAUGUCAGAUAUGCCAGAACCUGGUGCUGGAAGUGCUGAAACCACCUUCUGGACAGGCCUGAACCCACCUGCUGGACACGCAUGAAUGACCUGCCUGGGCACACCGCAACCACCUGCUUGACUUGCUGGAACCAUCAGCCAGAUAGGCCAAAAUAAUCUGCCAGAUAUGCUGGAACCAGGCCCCUAGAUGCCAGAACAACCCAACAGACAUGCCAGAACCACCCGUCGGACACACUGGUACCACCACUCAGACACGCCAGAACCACCCUCCAGACAUGCCAGAGCUAACUGCCAGACACGCCAGAAGCACCCACCGGACACGCCAGAACCACCUUCCGAACAUAACAGAACCAUAUGCCAGAUACCCCUGCACCACAUGCCAGACAUGCCAGAACCACCUGUUGGAUAUGCCUGAACCAGGUGCCAGGUACACUGAAACCACCUGCCGAAUAUGCCAGAAACAGGUGCUGGACAUGGCAGAACCUGGUGCCCUAAGUGCAGAGCCACCUGCUGGACACAACUGAACCACCUGCCAGACUUGUGCGAACCACCUGAUGGACAUGCUGGAAUCACCUGCUAGAUAUGCUAGAAAAAGGUGUCACACACGCCGAAACCAGGUACCGGACAUGAGUGAACAACCUGCCAGACACGCUGGAGCCAUCUGACGGAUAUGCCAGAAACAGGUGUCACACAUGCUGAAAGCAGGUGCUGCACACGACUGAACCAAGUGACGGAACAGCCUGAACCACCUGCUCGACACACUGUAACCAACUUCAGGAUGCACUGGAACCAUCUGCUAAACAUGCCGGAAGCACCUGCUGAGCACGCUGGAACCAGGUGCUAGACACACUGGAACUGCCUACUGGACAUGCCAGAAACACAGGCAAGACACAAUUGAAGGACACACCAGACAUGCCGAACCACUUGCCAGAAACAAAACCCGCGUACCCACCUGCCGGACACCCCCAAACACCCCUGAAUAGGACUGAAUCAGAUGCCGGACAUGCCCAAACAACAUUUCGGACACUAAGAACCAUGUUUCAGAAAUGUGUGGAACACAGGAUGGCCAUGCCAGGACCAAGUGCCAGAUGCAACUGGACCACCUGACAGACAUGCUUAAACAACCUGCCAGACACACUGGAACUACCCACCAGACAUACUGGUACCAUCCACCAGAAAAACCUGAACUACCUGCCUGACACACUGGAACCAACUGCUGGGCACGUUGGAACCACCACCCAGACACUCUGGAACCAUGCACUGGAGAUGCCAGAAUCAGGUCCUGGACAUGCUGGUACCACCUGCAGGAACUGGCAGAAUCAGCUGCUGGACACGGUGGACCCACCUUCUGAAACGCCAGAACCAUCUGCUGGACACAACAGAACCACCUUCUUGACACACUGGAACCACCCCUGGAUAUGCUCGCAACCAACCACUGGACAUGACUGAUCCACUUGCCGGACAGCACUGAUCCACCUGGCAAACACGGCUCAACCACCAACCGGACACACCGAACCACCUGCCUGACACCC
rnacentral:lncRNA from 1 species